rnacentral:rRNA from 1 species
CAUACCUAUAACUGUUGCUUCGGCGGGCAGGGUCUCCGUGACCCUCCCGGCCUCCCGCCCCCGGGCGGGUCGGCGCCCGCCGGAGGAUAACCAAACUCUGAUUUAACGACGUUUCUUCUGAGUGGUACAAGCAAAUAAUCAAAACUUUUAACAACGGAUCUCUUGGUUCUGGCAUCGAUGAAGAACGCAGCGAAAUGCGAUAAGUAAUGUGAAUUGCAGAAUUCAGUGAAUCAUCGAAUCUUUGAACGCACAUUGCGCCCGCCAGCAUUCUGGCGGGCAUGCCUGUUCGAGCGUCAUUUCAACCCUCAAGCUCUGCUUGGUGUUGGGGCCCUACAGCUGAUGUAGGCCCUCAAAGGUAGUGGCGGACCCUCCCGGAGCCUCCUUUGCGUAGUAACUUUACGUCUCGCACUGGGAUCCGGAGGGACUCUUGCCGUAAAACCCCCAAUUUUCCAAAGGUUGACCUCGGAUCAGGUAGGAAUACCCGCUGAACUUAAGCAUAUCAUA